UACGUAGGGGGCGAGCGUUGUCCGGAAUUAUUGGGCGUAAAGCGCGCGCAGGCGGUCUCUUAAGUCUGAUGUGAAAGCCCACGGCUCAACCGUGGAGAGUCAUUGGAAACUGGGGGACUUGAGGGCAGGAGAGGAGAGCGGAAUUCCACGUGUAGCGGUGAAAUGCGUAGAGAUGUGGAGGAACACCAGUGGCGAAGGCGGCUCUCUGGCCUGCACCUGACGCUGAGGCGCGAAAGCGUGGGGAGCAA
rnacentral:rRNA from 1 species